GCGGUUCAUUUCGCUGUGGCAACCCAAGAUUAAUAAAGGGGCUAAGCCAAAAAGAAAAUGAACGAAUGGCCAAGCAAACUGAUAACAUACCAGUAAUCUCCUAAUAAAGUUAGGUUCCAGUUUCUGACAUAUAAAGAUCCCAUUCACCUUCUCUCUGCGUCAUGUACUGUCAUCUUUCUACUGUUUCUUAAAAUAUAACCCCCUAAAAUAGCAUUUAAAACAUGGAUGUUGGUGUGAGUCACUUGUUAGUCAUGGGCACUCAUCAUAACCCUGUCUUCGGCUCGAAGUUUUUACCCUCUAACCAGCUCAGCUCGGUCACAAACAACCCAGUGCACUGUGCAAACAAAUAUCUCAAUCUAAGCCACAACCACCCCAUCAGUACAUUGACAAAUCAAGCCAAUAAAUACUGGCAGCUGAAGUCUGACAUAAAAUCUGCUGAAACCCAGGGGGAAUCCAGUGGUGGAGGUUAUAGAUGGAUGUUGUGCUUAGUUACAGAACAAUUUCAGAAAGCCCUGGCCCUCUUCGUAACCUCUAGUGAAGUGUGUGUGUUUCUACUCUUAAUGAGACUCUGUGGCCCAAGGACUGCCAUUACUACAUGCUAAAGUGUGACGUAUAUCACGAGCCACAGGCCAUCAGUACACACACCGUCACACACAGAUAAUAGACAGCCAUUUUGUACACCAAAUAAUUCCAAUUCUGUUCACUACAGGCACAUUUCAGGUCCAGAGAUCAUUGCGGCAGAGGCAGAGCGUGGCUGAAUGACUGACUGGCGGCCGUCAUUAUCAGACAUGUUUGGUCGGACAUGCGAGUCCAGACUGAAGGAGGAGGUGAGAAGGGCCCAUGUUCAGUGAGCGUGUAAUGAAGCCGGGUUUGGAUCAGGGUCACUGACUCGAGUGCCAUUUAUUUCUGAGAGGAGGCUAGUCUGCUGUGCGCUUUAAAUUACGGCGGACGGGCUUGGCAAAACCUGGAUUACUUCGUGUGGAGUGAGCAGACGGUAAUAUACUUGCCCUCGCUGUCCCUGUGUUUCCAGCCUUCAGUACAGAAGCAGUCAUCCAUAAACCACAUCGUCUAGAUCUUUAUUUAUUUUGCCACCAAUCGACUCCGAGCAGCCUGCCGGACAGCUGCAGCAAGUGAAGUCACUUUACGCUCAUUAGCAUGGACAAGAGAUGAGACCCUAGACACACACACACACACACACACACACACACACACACAAAACACACACAAAUUUCCCUCCUUGCGUCUCAGUAUGAGAGUGUUGUGCUCUAAAAACUGCUCUCCAGAUUUCAGUUGAUGUUCAUAUGUAUGCAUAUAUAUUUAUGCUCUGGUAUUUUUAAGUGUGUUUGAAUGCUCAGGAGGGAGCAAGCAAAAUGAACACACUUUCACAUGAAAAUUAAGGAGGCAUUUGAACACAUAGUAGAGAGUAGAACAGAUGGUAUGUGGUUGGAUAACUACUUUAAGCUUUUUUUAUAAUUGCAAAAUCAUUUAUUCAUACAAAAAACACAUGAACGUACCAUAAAAUGUGCAUCACAAAUAGUAUUGUCAGUACUUUGGUGUAUAGCAAAGUAACAAAUGACUACUGUUAUGAUUCACCAUGGUAUGUAGCCAGAUAGUUAAAGUUUUUGGGAGGUAUUUUGAGUUGGAUUCAAAGCAGAAGAACCUGCUUAUGCACACAACUUUUAAUUUUAAGCCAGGCAGCCCAAGGACUUCCGGUGAACUGUCUUUCCAUUACAAAAUUGUCACGUUUAAGAUCUGAUUUCUGUAAAAAUCAGCAGUCUUCACUCCCUGUUAGAUAUACGACAUGAAGUGGGUCUCAGAUCUGACAAGAAGCACUGCACUAAACUCCAUUUUUCCCCGUCAUGUCUUUAAAAUAUGACCGUUUAUUUUACCCAGUAUUUUCAAUGGAAUUUCUGCACUUACCUGUUGCUACUGGCGCUAGUGGUUACAAUGAUCUUUCAUCUUGUUUAAUGCUUGAACAACUAAAUGAUUGCUUGAGUCUA